rnacentral:rRNA from 1 species
UACGUAGGUGGCAAGCGUUAUCCGGAUUUAUUGGGCGUAAAGGGAACGCAGGCGGUCUUUUAAGUCUGAUGUGAAAGCCUUCGGCUUAACCGGAGUAGUGCAUUGGAAACUUGGAGACUUGAGUGCAGAAGAGGAGAGUGGAACUCCAUGUGUAGCGGUGAAAUGCGUAGAUAUAUGGAAGAACACCAGUGGCGAAAGCGGCUCUCUGGUCUGUAACUGACGCUGAGGUUCGAAAGCGUGGGUAGCAAACAGG